rnacentral:rRNA from 1 species
UCUGGAGGGGAUUGUGAAAGUGCCAACAGGGGUGAGAAUCCUGUGGUUCUUGCAGACCUUGUUCACGGUGUCUGCUUUCCAGAGUCAUGCUCCUUGGAACUGGAGUGCAAAGUGGGUGGUAGCUUCCACACAAAGGCAAACACACCACUGAGACUGACAGUGAAGAAGUACCGUGAGGGAAGUAUGAAAAGGACUUUGGAAAGAGAUUUAAAAGAGCCUGCACUUGCUGGACAACAAGCAUA